UACGGGGGGGGCAAGCGUUGUUCGGAAUUACUGGGCGUAAAGGGCGUGAAGGCGGCCAACUAAGUCGGAUGUGAAAUCCCCAGGCUCAACCUGGGAACUGCAUCCGAUACUGGAUGGCUUGAAUUCGGGAGAGGGAUGCAGAAUUCCAGGUGUAGCGGUGAAAUGCGUAGAUAUCUGGAGGAAUACCGGUGGCGAAGGCGGCAUCCUGGACCGACAUUGACGCUGUAGCGCGAAAGCUAGGGGAGCAAACGGG
rnacentral:rRNA from 1 species